rnacentral:rRNA from 1 species
GACGAACGCUGGCGGCGUGCUUAACACAUGCAAGUCGAACGGAAAGGCCCUGCUUUUGUGGGGUGCUCGAGUGGCGAACGGGUGAGCAACACGUGAGUAACCUGCCCUUGACUUUGGGAUAACUUCAGGAAACUGGGGCUAAUACCGGAUAGGAGCUCCUGCUGCAUGGUGGGGGUUGGAAAGUUUCGGCGGUUGGGGAUGGACUCGCGGCUUAUCAGCUUGUUGGCGGGGUAGUGGCUUACCAAGGCUUUGACGGGUAGCCGGCCUGAGAGGGUGACCGGCCACAUUGGGACUGAGAUACGGCCCAGACUCCUACGGGAGGCAGCAGUGGGGAAUAUUGCACAAUGGGCGGAAGCCUGAUGCAGCAACGCCGCGUGCGGGAUGACGGCCUUCGGGUUGUAAACCGCUUUCGCCUGUGACGAAGCGUGAGUGACGGUAAUGGGUAAAGAAGCACCGGCUAACUACGUG